AACGGUCUAUACCUGCGGUACCUGCGGAGGGAUCAUUAAAAAGAGUUGCAAAACUCCUUUUAAACCCUUGUCGGAUGUUUCUGCAUCGCAGCUCCCUCGGUGGGAGGUUGGAGAGAGAUGGAUCGCAGUGCCUGUGGCGUUUCGAGAGAAACACAUAUCCGCUGCAGUUUUCCCCUCUUUCCAGCGCCCGCCGAAGGGGAUGUACCCCAAAAUUCUACCAAACUUGCAAAUCAGAGUCAU
rnacentral:misc_RNA from 1 species